rnacentral:rRNA from 1 species
UACGUAGGCAGCGAGCGUUGUUCGGAAUUACUGGGCGUAAAGAGUGUGUAGGCGGUGCUCCAAGUCUGUUGUGAAAUCUCCCGGCUUAACCGGGAGGGUGCGGCGGAAACUGGAAUGCUUGAGGGUGGGAGAGGUAAGCGGAAUUCCUGGUGUAGCGGUGAAAUGCGUAGAUAUCAGGAGGAACACCUGUGGUGUAGACGGCUCUCUGGACCGCAACUGACGCUGAGACACGAAAGCGUGGGUAGCAAACAGG